rnacentral:rRNA from 1 species
GAGAGUUUGAUCCUGGCUCAGGAUGAACGCUAGCUACAGGCUUAACACAUGCAAGUCGAGGGGCAGCAUGGUCUUAGCUUGCUAAGGCCGAUGGCGACCGGCGCACGGGUGAGUAACGCGUAUCCAACCUGCCUUACACUCUUGGACAGCCUUCUGAAAGGGAGAUUAAUACAAGAUGUUAUCAUGAGUAAGCAUUUUCGCAUGAUUAAAGGUUUACCGGUGUAAGAUGGGGAUGCGUUCCAUUAGAUAGUAGGCGGGGUAACGGCCCACCUAGUCUUCGAUGGAUAGGGGUUCUGAGAGGAAGGUCCCCCACAUUGGAACUGAGACACGGUCCAAACUCCUACGGGAGGCAGCAGUGAGGAAUAUUGGUCAAUGGACGAGAGUCUGAACCAGCCAAGUAGCGUGAAGGAUGAAGGUUCUAUGGAUUGUAAACUUCUUUUAUACGGGAAUAAACGAAUCCACGCGUGGAUUUUUGCAUGUACCGUAUGAAUAAGGAUCGGCUAACUCCGUGCCAGCAGCCGCGGUAAUACGGAGGAUCCGAGCGUUAUCCGGAUUUAUUGGGUUUAAAGGGAGCGUAGACGGGUUGUUAAGUCAGUUGUGAAAGUUUGCGGCUCAACCGUAAAAUUGCAAUUGAUACUGGCAGUCUUGAGUACAGUUGAGGUAGGCGGAAUUCGUGGUGUAGCGGUGAAAUGCUUAGAUAUCACGAAGAACUCCGAUUGCGAAGGCAGCUUACUAACCUGUAACUGACAUUGAUGCUCGAAAGUGUGGGUAUCAAACAGGAUUAGAUACCCUGGUAGUCCACACGGUAAACGAUGAAUACUCGCUGUAGGCGAUAUACAGUCUGCGGCCAAGCGAAAGCAUUAAGUAUUCCACCUGGGGAGUACGCCGGCAACGGUGAAACUCAAAGGAAUUGACGGGGGCCCGCACAAGCGGAGGAACAUGUGGUUUAAUUCGAUGAUACGCGAGGAACCUUACCCGGGCUUAAAUUGCAACCGAAUAUGGCGGAAACGCUAUAGCUAGCAAUAGCGGUUGUGAAGGUGCUGCAUGGUUGUCGUCAGCUCGUGCCGUGAGGUGUCGGCUUAAGUGCCAUAACGAGCGCAACCCUUGCCGAUAGUUACUAACAGGUCAUGCUGAGGACUCUGUCGGGACUGCCAUCGUAAGAUGUGAGGAAGGUGGGGAUGACGUCAAAUCAGCACGGCCCUUACGUCCGGGGCUACACACGUGUUACAAUGGGGGGUACAGAGGGCUGCUACCACGCAAGUGGAUGCCAAUCCCAAAAACCUCUCUCAGUUCGGAUUGAAGUCUGCAACCCGACUUCAUGAAGCUGGAUUCGCUAGUAAUCGCGCAUCAGCCACGGCGCGGUGAAUACGUUCCCGGGCCUUGUACACACCGCCCGUCAAGCCAUGGGAGCCGGGGGUACCUGAAGUGCGUAACCGCAAGGAGCGCCCUAGGGUAAAACUGGUGACUGGGGCUAAGUCGUAACAAGGUAGCCG